rnacentral:rRNA from 1 species
UACGGGGGGGGCAAGCGUUGUUCGGAAUUACUGGGCGUAAAGGGCUCGUAGGUGGCCAACUAAGUCAUACGUGAAAUCCCUCAGCUUAACCGGGGAACGGCGUCUGAUACUGGAUGGCUUGAGUUUGGGAGAGGGAUGCGGAAUUCCAGGUGUAGCGGUGAAAUGCGUAGAUAUCUGGAGGAACACCGGUGGCGAAGGCGGCAUCCUGGACCAAUACUGACACUGAGGAGCGAAAGCCAGGGGAGCAAACGGG